rnacentral:rRNA from 1 species
UCGGCGGGGAAGAAAUCGNAUCUCCUAAUACGGGGUGUGGAUGACGGUACCCGAAUAAGAAGCACCGGCUAACUACGUGCCAGCAGCCGCGGUAAUACGUAGGGUGCGAGCGUUAAUCGGAAUUACUGGGCGUAAAGCGUGCGCAGGCGGUUUUGUAAGACAGAUGUGAAAUCCCCGGGCUCAACCUGGGAGCUGCAUUUGUGACUGCAAGGCUAGAGUAUGGCAGAGGGGGGUGGAAUUCCACGUGUAGCAGUGAAAUGCGUAGAGAUGUGGAGGAACACCGAUGGCGAAGGCAGCCCCCUGGGCCAAUACUGACGCUCAUGCACGAAAGCAUGGGGAGCAAACAGGAUUAGAUACCCUGGUAGUCCACGCCCUAAACGAUGUCAACUAGGUGCUGGUGGGGUUAAACCCAUUAGUACCGUAGCUAACGCGUGAAGUUGACCGCUGGGGAGUACGGCCGCAAGGUUAAAACUCAAAGGAACUGACGGGGACCCGCACAAGCGGUGGAUGAUGUGGAUUAAUUCGAUGCAACGCGAAAAACCUUACCUACCCUUGACAUGUCCAGAAGCCUGAAGAGAUUUGGGUGUGCUCGAAAGAGAACUGGAACACAGGUGCUGCAUGGCUGUCGUCAGCUCGUGUCGUGAGAUGUUGGGUUAAGUCCCGCAACGAGCGCAACCCUUGUCAUUAGUUGCCAUCAUUUAGUUGGGCACUCUAAUGAGACUGCCGGUGACAAACCGGAGGAAGGUGGGGAUGACGUCAAGUCCUCAUGGCCCUUAUGGGUAGGGCUUCACACGUCAUACAAUGGUCGGUACAGAGGGUUGCCAAGCCGCGAGGUGGAGCCAAUCCCAGAAAGCCGAUCGUAGUCCGGAUCGUAGUCUGCAACUCGACUACGUGAAGUCGGAAUCGCUAGUAAUCGCGGAUCAGCAUGUCGCGGUGAAUACGUUCCCGGGUCUUGUACACACCGCCCGUCACACCAUGGGAGUGGGUUCUACCAGAAGUAGUUAGCCUAACCGCAAGGAGGGCGAUUACCACGGUAGGGUUCAUGACUGGGGUGAAGUCGUAACAAGGUAGCC